rnacentral:rRNA from 1 species
UACGUAGGUGGCAAGCGUUGUCCGGAAUUAUUGGGCGUAAAGCGCGCGCAGGCGGUCCUUUAAGUCUGAUGUGAAAUCCCGUGGCUUAACCACGGGCGGUCAUUGGAAACUGGGGAACUUGAGUGCAGAAGAGAAAAGCGGAAUUCCACGUGUAGCGGUGAAAUGCGUAGAGAUGUGGAGGAACACCAGUGGCGAAGGCGGCUUUUUGGUCUGUAACUGACGCUGAGGCGCGAAAGCGUGGGGAGCAAACAGGG